AUUGAACGCUGGCGGCGGGCCUAACACAUGCAAGUCGAACGAGUGGCGGACGGGUGAGUAAUGUCUGGGAAACUGCCUGAUGGAGGGGGAUAACUACUGGAAACGGUAGCUAAUACCGCAUACCAUAAGAUGUGCCCAGAUGGGAUUAGCUCGUUGGUGGGGUAUCGGCUCACCAAGGCGACGAUCCCUAGCUGGUCGGAGAGGAUGACCGCCCACUCUGGAACUGAGACACGGCCCAGACUCCUACGGGAGGCAGCGGUGGGGAAUAUUGCACAAUGGGCGCAAGCCGGAGGAAGCCAGGCCGCGUGUAUGAAGAAGGCCUUCGGGUGGUAAAGUACUUUCAGCGGGGAGGCGUUACCCGCAGAAGAAGCACCGGCUAACUCCGUGCCAGCAGCCGCGGUAAUUC
rnacentral:rRNA from 1 species